AGUGGGGAAUAUUGCACAAUGGGCGCAAGCCUGAUGCAGCAACGCCGCGUGAGGGAUGACGGCCUUCGGGUUGUAAACCUCUUUUAGUAAGGAAGAAGCCUUUCUGAGGUGACGGUACUUGCAGAAAAAGGACCGGCUAACUACGUGCCAGCAGCCGCGGUAAUACGUAGGGUCCGAGCGUUGUCCGGAAUUAUUGGGCGUAAAGAGCUCGUAGGCGGUUUGUCGCGUCUGCUGUGAAAACUAGAGGCUCAACCUCUAGCCUGCAGUGGGUACGGGCAGACUUGAGUGCGGUAGGGGAGACUGGAAUUCCUGGUGUAGCGGUGGAAUGCGCAGAUAUCAGGAGGAACACCGAUGGCGAAGGCAGGUCUCUGGGCCGUAACUGACGCUGAGGAGCGAAAGCGUGGGGAGCGAA
rnacentral:rRNA from 1 species